rnacentral:rRNA from 1 species
GACGAACCGUCCAAACGUUAUUCGGAAUCACUGGGCUUACAGAGUUCGUAGGCGGUCUGGAAAGUUGGGUGUGAAAUCCCUCGGCUCAACCGAGGAACUGCGCUUGAAACUACCAGACUCGAGGGAGAUAGGGGAAAGCGGAACUGAUGGUGGAGCGGUGAAAUGCGUAGAUAUCAGGAGGAACACCGGUGGCGAAGGCGGUUCUCUGGGCAUGAUCUGACGCUGAGGAGCGAAAGUGUGGGGAGCGAACAGG